ACAUUAAAAAAUAACACUUAUUUAAAAGUGCUAUUAAUAAGCAAUUAAAAAAACACACGACCGAAUAUGUGAAAUUUCAUUUGGCGCCAUAUGAAAUAUAUAACUAGGCGCCAAAUGAAAAUAAGAGACACGGAAGCACACAGUAAACUAGUCUCAGCCUCCGAACCCCUAAGCCUCCAUUGAAUCCCUAAUUUCUGGUUUCGUUUCUUUGCCUCUCUUUCUUUCUUUCUUUCGUCUCUUUGCUUCUCUUUCUUUCUGGUUUCCUAGUCUCUUUCUUUGCUUCUCAGCUUCUCUUUCAUGCUUCUCAGCUUCUCUUUCUUUCUCUUUUUUUUUUCGUCUACACAACCAAGCAGAGCAUCGCUCAACAACCCUUUUAUUCAAACUUCACUAUUUAUUCUUCUAUGUCGUCUAAAAUUAUGAAAAACCCGAAGAACCAUUCUUUCAGGAUCUGGGUUUUCACUUCCUCGCCUUUUUUCUUCAUGGAAAGCUGAUGGCACAACCGAAGUAUUGAUGAAGAAAAAAACUUAGAGGUGAAUUGGUUGAACUCUAAGGAAUAGUUUGAAUGAUCAAGUUGAAAAUGGCUACAAAUAUGACGACUGAUCAAGGUCCUGAUAGAAAUGGUACUGUGUGGACUAUAGAUCAGAAGCUUGAUCAACCCAUGGACGAAGAGGCUAGAAAGCUUAAAAACAUGUACACAGAAAAGAAGCUUUCAGCAGUAAUGCUUCUGCAACUUGCAUUCCAGAGCCUUGGAGUGGUAUAUGGAGAUUUAGGCACAUCUCCGUUGUAUGUUUUCUACAACACUUUCCCUGAUGGAAUUAAAGACCCAGAAGAUUUGAUUGGAGCUUUAUCUUUGAUAAUAUACUCGCUUACUCUUAUUCCGCUUCUCAAGUAGGUGCUAAUUGUUUGUAGAGCAAAUGAUAAUGGUCAAGGCGGAACUUUUGCUAUCUAUUCAUUACUCUGCCGACAUGCAAAAUUGAGAACUAUUCCUAAUCAAGACCGAAGUGAUUUGGAACUUACAACAUAUAGUCGUUCUACAUUUAGUGAACACUCAUUUGCCGCAAGAACCAAGAGGUGGUUGGAGGGAUAUGCAUUUAUGAAGAACACAAUGCUUAUUCUUGUCCUUAUUGGCUCUUGUAUGGUAAUUGGGGAUGGAAUUUUGACUCCAGCCAUUUCAGUGUUGUCAGCUAUUGGUGGGAUUAAUGUUGGCCACCCCAUGAUAAGUAAUGACAUAGUUGUACUUGUUGCUGUUAUUGUCCUAGCCAUUUUGUUUAGCAUUCAAC